GUGUCAGCCGCCGCGGUAAGACGAACCGUGCGAACGUUGUUCGGAAUCACUGGGCUUAAAGGGAGCGUAGGCGGGCUAUCAAGUCUGGGGUGAAAUCCCACGGCUCAACCGUGGAACUGCCUCAGAUACUGACGGCCUCGAGGGAGAUAGGGGCAUGCGGAACUGUAGGUGGAGCGGUGAAAUGCGUUGAUAUCUACAGGAACUCCGGUGGCGAAAGCGGCGUGCUGGAUCUCUUCUGACGCUGAGGCUCGAAAGCUAGGGGAGCAAACGGGAUUAGAUACCCCGGUAGUCCUAGCCCUAAACGAUGGGUACUAGAUAGUAGACUAGAUAUGAGUUUACUGUCGAAGUUAAAAUGCUAAGUACCCCGCCUGGGGAGUAUGGUCGCAAGGCUGAA
rnacentral:rRNA from 1 species